rnacentral:RNase_P_RNA from 2 species
AAGGGAAGUUGGAUGACCGCGGUUAUGGAUUCGUCCGUGAUCGAGGAAAGUCCGAACACCCCCUGUGGCGUAAGUCACGGGGAAGCAGAACGUCGCUAACGGCGACCGAGUGAGUCUGGCACCGCGGAAUUGGAUUUCGCUCCGCGGUGACGCGGAUGUGUGGCAAACCCGUUCUGGUGCAAGAGCAAGUUUGGUAGCUCGCACGAGUCCCGCAGCAAUGCGGGACCAAGAGAGAUGGUCAUCGAGAAGUAUGGGCAACUCUUCUUCUUUACAGAAUUCGGCUUACAGACGUCCCUUGAGC